rnacentral:rRNA from 1 species
GAGUUUGAUCCUGGCUCAGAUUGAACGCUGGCGGUAUGCUUAACACAUGCAAGUCGGACGGCAGCAUGGUGUGUAGCAAUACACACUGAUGGCGAGUGGCGGACGGGUGAGAAACGCGUAGGAAUCUGCCUUAUAGUAGGGGGACAACUAGAGGAAACUCUAGCUAAUACCGCAUAAAUGUCUGAGGACCAAAAGCUGGGUAGCAAUACCUGGCGCUAUAAGAGGAGCCUGCGUCUGAUUAGCUAGUUGGUAGGGUAAAGGCUACCAAGGCGAUGAUCGGUAGCUGGUCUGAGAGGAUGAUCAGCCACACUGGGACUGAGACACGGCCCAGACUCCUACGGGAGGCAGCAGUGGGGAAUAUUGGACAAUGGCGAAAGCCUGAUCCAGCAAUGCCGCGUG